AGAGUUCGAUCCUGGCUCAGGAUGAACGCUGGCGGCGCGCCUAACACAUGCAAGUCGAACGGCACCCCUCUCCGGAGGGAAGCGAGUGGCGAACGGCUGAGUAACACGUGGAGAACCUGCCCCCUCCCCCGGGAUAGCCGCCCGAAAGGACGGGUAAUACCGGAUACCCCGGGGUGCCGCAUGGCACCCCGGCUAAAGCCCCGACGGGAGGGGAUGGCUCCGCGGCCCAUCAGGUAGACGGCGGGGUGACGGCCCACCGUGCCGACAACGGGUAGCCGGGUUGAGAGACCGACCGGCCAGAUUGGGACUGAGACACGGCCCAGACUCCUACGGGAGGCAGCAGUGGGGAAUCUUGCGCAAUGGGGGGAACCCUGACGCAGCGACGCCGCGUGCGGGACGGAGGCCUUCGGGUCGUAAACCGCUUUCAGCAGGGAAGAGUCAAGACUGUACCUGCAGAAGAAGCCCCGGCUAACUACGUGCCAGCAGCCGCGGUAAUACGUAGGGGGCGAGCGUUAUCCGGAUUCAUUGGGCGUAAAGCGCGCGUAGGCGGCCCGGCAGGCCGGGGGUCGAAGCGGGGGGCUCAACCCCCCGAAGCCCCCGGAACCUCCGCGGCUUGGGUCCGGUAGGGGAGGGUGGAACACCCGGUGUAGCGGUGGAAUGCGCAGAUAUCGGGUGGAACACCGGUGGCGAAGGCGGCCCUCUGGGCCGAGACCGACGCUGAGGCGCGAAAGCUGGGGGAGCGAACAGGAUUAGAUACCCUGGUAGUCCCAGCCGUAAACGAUGGACGCUAGGUGUGGGGGGACGAUCCCCCCGUGCCGCAGCCAACGCAUUAAGCGUCCCGCCUGGGGAGUACGGCCGCAAGGCUAAAACUCAAAGGAAUUGACGGGGGCCCGCACAAGCAGCGGAGCAUGUGGCUUAAUUCGAAGCAACGCGAAGAACCUUACCAGGGCUUGACAUAUGGGUGAAGCGGGGGAGACCCCGUGGCCGAGAGGAGCCCAUACAGGUGGUGCAUGGCUGUCGUCAGCUCGUGUCGUGAGAUGUUGGGUUAAGUCCCGCAACGAGCGCAACCCCCGCCGCGUGUUGCCAUCGGGUGAUGCCGGGAACCCACGCGGGACCGCCGCCGUCAAGGCGGAGGAGGGCGGGGACGACGUCAAGUCAUCAUGCCCCUUAUGCCCUGGGCUGCACACGUGCUACA
rnacentral:rRNA from 1 species